CAUAUUUACAAAGAAGCUAAUAGUGCUAUUAAUUGAAUAGCAUCUUACGUGACUAACUAGACAGGAUCAACAUUAUGGAUAUCUAUAGCUGAACCUUCUGUUCAAUUUUUUAACAUUUUAUUUCUGAUUCUUAUGAAUAUAUUUGUUCAUAUUUGGUUUAGUUUAAUAAAUCCAUUUUAUCAAAAAAAAAAAUCAACACUUGAAACCCCAAAUCCAU
rnacentral:lncRNA from 1 species